UGGGGAAUAUUGGACAAUGGGCGCAAGCCUGAUCCAGCCAUACCGCGUGGGUGAAGAAGGCCUUCGGGUUGUAAAGCCCUUUUGUUGGGAAAGAAAUCCAGCUGGUUAAUACCCGGUUGGGAUGACGGUACCCAAAGAAUAAGCACCGGCUAACUUCGUGCCAGCAGCCGCGGUAAUACGAAGGGUGCAAGCGUUACUCGGAAUUACUGGGCGUAAAGCGUGCGUAGGUGGUCGUUUAAGUCUGUUGUGAAAGCCCUGGGCUCAACCUGGGAACUGCAGUGGAAACUGGACGACUAGAGUGUGGUAGAGGGUAGCGGAAUUCCUGGUGUAGCAGUGAAAUGCGUAGAGAUCAGGAGGAACAUCCAUGGCGAAGGCAGCUACCUGGACCAACACUGACACUGAGGCACGAAAGCGUGGGGAGCAAACAGGAUUAGAUACCCUGGUAGUCCACGCCCUAAACGAUGCGAACUGGAUGUUGGGUGCAAUUUGGCGCGCAGUAUCGAAGCUAACGCGUUAAGUUCGCCGCCUGGGGAGUACGGUCGCAAGACUGAAACUUAAAUGAAUUGACGGGGUCAUAGCUGUUUCCGU
rnacentral:rRNA from 1 species